CGGGUGAGUAUAAUGUGGGAAUCUGCCUUUUGGUUUGGAAUAACACGGGGAAACUUGUGCUAAUACCGAAUAAGCCUUUACAGGGAAAGUUUUAACGCCGAAAGAUGAGCCCGCACUUGAUUAGCUAGUUGGUAAGGUAAAAGCUUACCAAGGCAAUGAUCAAUAGCUGUUCUUAGAGGAAGACCAGCCACAUUGGGACUGAGACACGGCCCAGACUCCUACGGGAGGCAGCAGUGGGGAAUCUUGCACAAUGGGGGAAACCCUGAUGCAGCGAUGCCGCGUGAGUGAAGAAGGCCUUUGGGUUGUAAAACUCUUUCGUCGGGGAAGAAAAUGACUGUACCCGAAUAAGAAGGUCCGGCUAACUUCGUGCCAGCAGCCGCGGUAAUACGAAGGGACCUAGCGUAGUUCGGAAUUACUGGGCUUAAAGAGCUCGUAGGUGGUUAAAAUAGUUGAUGGUGAAAUCCCAAGGCUCAACCUUGGAACUGCCAUCAAAACUUUUUAGCUAGAGUGUGAUAGAGGUAAGUGGAAUUUCUAGUGUAGAGGUGAAAUUCGUA
rnacentral:rRNA from 1 species